rnacentral:rRNA from 1 species
AACCAGGAUUAGAUACCCUAUUAUAAAAAUUUAAAUUGAUUUACUAAAAAAUUAAUAGUUAAGUUCUUUAAAUUUAAAAAAUUUGGCGGUAUUUUAGUCUUAUUAGAGGAACCUGUUUAUUAAUUGAUAAUCCACGAUUAAUUUUACUUAUUUUAAUUAAUUCAUAUAUCGCUGUCAUGAAUAUAUUUAAAAAUUUAUUUUCUUUUUUUAUUUUUAUAAUUUAUGUUAAGUCAAGAUGUGGUUUAUAAAUAAGAAUAUAAUGGGUUACAAUAAAUUUAAUUUUUGGAUUUUAAAUGAAAAUUAAAAUGAAAUUGGAUUUAAUAGUAAAUUUAUUUAUUUAAUAAUA